AUUGAACGCUGGCGGAAUGCUUUACACAUGCAAGUCGAACGGCAGCACGGACUUCGGUCUGGUGGCGAGUGGCGAACGGGUGAGUAACAUAUCGGAACGUAUCCAAUAAUGGGGGAUAACUAAUCGAAAGGUUGGCUAAUACCGCAUACGCGCUACGGGGGAAAGCAGGGGAUCUUCGGACCUUGCGUUAAUGGAGCGGCUGAUAUCUGAUUAGCUAGUUGGCGAGGUAAAGGCUCACCAAGGCGACGAUCAGUAGCUGGUCUGAGAGGACGAACAGCCAAACUGGAACUGAGACACGGUCCAGACUCCUACGGGAGGCAGCAGUGGGGAAUUUUGGACAAUGGGCGCAAGCCUGAUCCAGCCAUUCCGCGUGAGUGAAGAAGGCCUUCGGGUUGUAAAGCUCUUUCGCAAGGGAAGAAAACUUACUUUCUAAUAAAGAGUGAGGUUGACGGUACCUUGAUAAGAAGCACCGGCUAACUACGUGCCAGCCGCCGCCGUAA
rnacentral:rRNA from 1 species